GAGAGUUUGGUCAUGGCUCAGAGUGAACGCUGGCGGCGUGCUUAACACAUGCAAGUCGAACGAGAACGGACUAUAGCUUGCUAUAGUUGUCAGCUAAGUGGCGCACGGGUGAGUAAUAUAUAGGUAAUGUGCCCUAGAGAGGGGGAUAACAUUUGGAAACGACUGCUAAUACUCCAUACGCCCUUCGGGGGAAAGAUUUAUCGCUAUUAGAUGGGCCUGCGUUAGAUUAGCUUGUUGGUGGGGUAAUGGCCUACCAAGGCAACGAUCUAUAGCUGGUCUGAGAGGAUGAUCAGCCACACUGGGACUGAGACACGGCCCAGACUCCUACGGGAGGCAGCAGUGGGGAAUAUUGGACAAUGGGCGCAAGCCUGAUCCAGCAAUGCCGCGUGAGUGAUGAAGGCCUUCGGGUUGUAAAGCUCUUUCAAUAGUGACGAUGAUGACGGUAACUAUAGAAGAAGCCCCGGCUAACUUCGUGCCAGCAGCCGCGGUAAUACGAAGGGGGCUAGCGUUGUUCGGAAUUA
rnacentral:rRNA from 1 species